CNGUAAGGUGUUGGUUGUACACUUGAUGGC
rnacentral:piRNA from 1 species